AUUGAACGCUGGCGGCAGGCCUAACACAUGCAAGUCGAGCGGAGCAGCAGACGGGGAAGUAAUGCUUAGGACUCUGCCUGUUAGUGGGGGCUAACGUCCGGCAACGGGCGCUAAUCCCGAAUACUCUCAGAUUAGCAUCGGGGGGAUUAGCUAGUUGUUGGGUGAAAGGUCUACCAAGGCGACGAUCCGUAACUGUUCUCAGAGGAUGAUCAGUCACCCUGGAACUGAGACACGGUCCAGACUCUUACGGGAGGCAGCAGGGGGGAAUAUUGGACAAUGGGCGAAAGCCUGAUCCAGCCAUGCCGCGUGUGUGAAGAAGGUCUUCGGAUUGUAAAGUACUUUAAGUUGGGAGGCGUUACCAACAGAAGAAGCACCGGCUAACUUCGUGCCAGCCGCCGCGGUAAUUC
rnacentral:rRNA from 1 species